rnacentral:rRNA from 1 species
UACGUAGGGUGCGAGCGUUAAUCGGAAUUACUGGGCGUAAAGCGUGCGCAGGCGGUUGUGUAAGACAGAUGUGAAAUCCCCGGGCUCAACCUGGGAACUGCAUUUGUGACUGCACGGCUCGAGUGCGGCAGAGGGGGAUGGAAUUCCGCGUGUAGCAGUGAAAUGCGUAGAUAUGCGGAGGAACACCGAUGGCGAAGGCAAUCCCCUGGGCCUGCACUGACGCUCAUGCACGAAAGCGUGGGGAGCAAACGGG